rnacentral:rRNA from 1 species
UACGUAGGGUGCGAGCGUUAAUCGGAAUUACUGGGCGUAAAGCGUGCGCAGGCGGUUUUGUAAGCCAGAUGUGAAAUCCCCGGGCUUAACCUGGGAAUGGCAUUUGGGACUGCAAGGCUUGAGUUUGGCAGAGGAGACUGGAAUUCCUGGUGUAGCAGUGAAAUGCGUAGAGAUCCGGAAGAACACCGGUGGCGAAGGCGGCCUGCUGGGCAGUAGCUGACACUGAGGCGCGACAGCGUGGGGAGCAAACAGG